AAUUUGAAUCUUAUUAACAUGAGGAAUCCACACAUCAACUACAGUCUCUCAAUUCUUGUGCUUAAUUUUAAAAGUCUGCUUGUUGAAUAAGUGACUUUGCAGGAGUGGAUAGUUUCUUCCCAGCAAGGUUGCACACUCAGGAUGAUAUUUUCUAGUUCUAUCCAUUUGCCUGCAAAAUUCACGAUGUCCUUGUUUUUAAUAGGAAAUUCAGGACAAAGUGGAGCAGAGACUGAACAAAAGUCCAUCUAGAGUCCAGCCCAACUUGGGAUCCAUCUGAUGCACAGGAACCAAUCCCAGACACUAUUACUGAUGCCAAGUUGUGCUUGAAGAAAGGAACCUAGUAUGGUCCUCUGACCGGCUCAUCCAGCACCUGACUGAGACAGAUGCAGAUACAGCAAAUGAUUGGACUGAGAUCAGAACCCGUAUGGAGGAGUGAAGGGAAGGACUGAAGGAGCUGAAGGGGAUUACAGCCCCACAGGAGGAUCAAUAGUAUCAACUAAUCAGUACCUCUUUGAGCUCCCAGAGACUGGGCUACCAACCAAAAAUCAUACAGCUGGUUCAUGCCUUCCACUAGAUAUGUAGCAGAGGAUUGCCUUGUCUGGCCUUAGUGAUCCUUUAGAAUUGUGAUGUGAUGCCUGGGGAAGGGGAUGCUAACAGGGUGAGGUCUGACAGGGUGGGUGGGUGGUGGAGCACUCUCUUAGAAGCAUAGGGGUGAGGGAAUGGGAUGAAGAUCUCAUGGAGAAGGACCAGGAAGGGAGCACAAUUUGGAAUAUAAAUAAAUAAAAUAAUAAAAAUUGACAUUUAAAAAAUAAAACAAUAAAACACUUUGUGUGUGGCUUAGAGAAUCUAUCAUUAAAUAUUUACCUAAUAAAGUUCAAACUGUAUUGCUUCAAAA